GUGGGGAAUAUUGGACAAUGGGCGAAAGCCUGAUCCAGCCAUGCCGCGUGUGUGAAGAAGGUCUUCGGAUUGUAAAGCACUUUAAGUUGGGAGGAAGGGCAGUAAGUUAAUACCUUGCUGUUUUGACGUUACCGACAGAAUAAGCACCGGCUAACUUCGUUCCAGCAGCCGCGGUAAUACGAAGGGUGCAAGCGUUAAUCGGAAUUACUGGGCGUAAAGCGCGCGUAGGUGGUUUUGUAAGUUGGAGGUGAAAUCCCCGGACUCAACCUGGGAACUGCCUCCAAAACUGCAUGACUAGAGUACGGUAGAUGGUAGUGGAAUUUCCUGUGUAGCGGUGAAAUGCGUAGAUAUAGGAAGGAACACCAGUGGCGAAGGCGACUACCUGGACUGAUACUGACACUGAGGUGCGAAAGCGUGGGGAGCAAACAGGAUUAGAAACCCGGGUAGUCC
rnacentral:rRNA from 1 species